GACGAACGCUGGCGGCGUGCUUAACACAUGCAAGUCGAGCGAUGAAGCUCCUUCGGGAGUGGAUUAGCGGCGGACGGGUGAGUAACACGUGGGUAACCUGCCUCAUAGAGGGGAAUAGCCUUCCGAAAGGAAGAUUAAUACCGCAUAAGAUUGUAGUACCGCAUGGUACAGCGAUUAAAGGAGUAAUCCGCUAUGAGAUGGACCCGCGUCGCAUUAGCUAGUUGGUGAGGUAACGGCUCACCAAGGCGACGAUGCGUAGCCGACCUGAGAGGGUGAUCGGCCACAUUGGGACUGAGACACGGCCCAGACUCCUACGGGAGGCAGCAGUGGGGAAUAUUGCACAAUGGGGGAAACCCUGAUGCAGCAACGCCGCGUGAGUGAUGACGGUCUUCGGAUUGUAAAACUCCGUCUUCAGGGACGAUAAUGACGGUACCUGAGGAGGAAGCCACGGCUAACUACGUGCCAGCCGCCGCCGUAA
rnacentral:rRNA from 1 species